rnacentral:rRNA from 1 species
UGGGGAAUUUUCCGCAAUGGGCGAAAGCCUGACGGAGACAAUGCCGCGUGGAGGUGGAAGGCCUACGGGUCGUCAACUUCUUUUCUCGGAGAAGAAACAAUGACGGUAUCUGAGGAAUAAGCAUCGGCUAACUCUGUGCCAG